CCUGUAUCCAAAGAGUACCAGUCUGCAUUUGGCCUUAUCUCCAUCAGAGUGACUCCUUCCCUGCACAGCUUUUUCACACCUUGCUGCCUAAGAGCCCUUUCAGGUGCACUGAAAGGAGUCCCUGCUUCUUUGGAGAAGAGGUGGUUAAAAAGGCACAGGCCUGUGAAGGGGAGAUGGGGCUACGGGAGCUGAGUGAGGCUGAGCCAAGCCAGAGGAAAAGGCAGCAUCGGCUGAAGUGAAGGAGAGGAGAAAUUCCCCAAGUGGAUCUCUGUCACUCCCCCCAACCAUUUUUACUCAUUACUGUGUUCAGUCAGAACUGUUUGAAAUACAGUAUUGGAAGCCUUGUUUAAUUGAAAUACAUUGUGUCCAGACUAAUUCAGAAGAGCCAAGACUGGUUUUGUGACACAUUGGAGAACUCUUAAGUCCUUGGAAGAGGGAAGCAAGGUGGAACUGAAAAAUGGUGUGGCAGUUUUGGGGCCAGGCAAAGGGCAUGUUGUCAAACCACAGAUGCUGUGGAGUUAUUUGUCACUCUCGGGAAGAGCUAGCCUAAAAGGGAAGCUUCCAUAAUAUGAAAUAACCUCUCCUUCCUUCCCUCUCUGAGUUUGACCCCAAUGUUAUUUGGGGUAGAAGCAUUUUUCUGAAUUUGAAAUUUGUGCCAAGCGACAAGCUCCCAGGACAGGGCAUUUCAGCUCAGUGAGACUGAUGUUCUUGUCACUUUUACUGCCACCUCCAGCAGGAAUGGGCAGUGAUGCCAAUUUCCCCGAGCAGCUGCUGGCGCCUGCCACCAAAAGGGUCUCUGGGGGGGAUCCACCAGCCGUCUGGCUCUGGCUGAGGGACCACGCAGCUUCCAGCAUCUCCAACCUGGGGCACGUGUGCCAGCAGUCAGGACGACUGAUCUCGGAGGGCUGCCUGGGAUUAAGCAAAAGCUUGAGAUGCUUUGACUGGCAGCUUUCCGGCUGCAGAGGAUGGUAUUUUUUGACUAAUCUUUGUUUUGACAGCACGUUCAAACAAUUCUGAAGCCCCUCUCAAGAUUUCCCACAAUCUAAGUGCUCAUGUUCCCUCUUUUCUGGCACUUCAGAUAGGGUCUCCAAUUCAUUUAAUGUCUAGCCUGCAUGUAACCAGAAAAGCUCUCAAAAAUAGGUCUACUUUUAGUGUCAUAGAGAAAGACAGUCAAUUCUUUAACAAUCUGACCAGCACUGAGGCAAUUCCUGUGUAUUUCAUAGUAAGUAGUAAUAGAAAACUUUCAUAAAGAAAACCCUAAACCAUCCCAAACUGUGCUUUCCAUGAAUGAAUUCAAGCACAAAAUCUGCCUGCCGGUGGUCUGCAGGAGUUCAAACCCAAGAUGUGUCAACAUGAGUGCCAUGUCCAAUCUCAGUCAUAAUGACACAGAGAGGGAGUAUUGCUCGUCCCUCAGCCAGGCACUAAGUAAUUCCUUGCUGGAAGAGGUUUGUUGAGUCCCAGCAGGGAAAGAGGCAGCCCCACUGUAGAAGCUAUCCAAUUAUGUGGAUUUUUUCAGGAAAUGCUGUAAAAACGUUUUCUUCCAUGAGCCUGUGCUUGAGCUAUAUAUCUCUAGUGAUAUGAUAUUUUUUGUUCUGCAUGGAUUUUUGCUGUGUUUAAUGAUGUGUCAGGUUUCAAAAAUUUGGCGAUUGAAAGAUUAAAAUGGGUAGAAGGUGGCAGAAGGAUGAUUUGUUUGUUUGUUUGCUGUUUUCUUGCUUGAUUUUCCUUAGGUUAGAAGCGGGCAGAAGAAUUCAACUAAACCAAAGCCAAAAUGUGUUUUUUCAAUAUUGAGGAAAUAUAGACUUCCUUGUUUACACUGGGAAUAUUCUUUAAUGAAGAUAACACUUGAAGUAAUAGUAUAUAUGGGGGAGGCUGGGGCUGAAGCUAUUUCUCCUAAGGGAACUGUGAAUUACUAUGUUUCUCUUUCCUCUCAUUUCCUUCCAUUGGUAGCAAAAAGUAUAUCUGUACUGUAGCUUCAGUCCGUGUGGUUUAAUAUCCUAGACUGGCUUACCCUCGGGACUGUAGCAGAAGAGGGGUGAAGGAGUGUAUUUAGAAAAGGAGAUAGUUUGUCAAGAAUUAAAGAGCAUUUUGAUCAAAACAAGACCCCUGAAAUGCAAUAGAUUCAAUAGAGAUGAUUUCAAGUACGUUGUCUAGCACUUCUGUGCUGCUUUUGCUGCACCCUAUGGUUUCUGUAUUCAGAGGUGGCAAAAAUACAGUCUGUCUUACCAAGCCAUGGUGUUGUAAGAAACGGAGAGUGCCAAAUAUCCUGUCUCUGCUGAUGGCUGGCAGCAGGUCCUCGGGGAGAGAGUGAGAGAAACCGGGCAAGCCCCAAGGGAGCCUUGCCAGCACCCAGUGCCGGUGGCCCAGCUCCCUGGGGCUCUGCCUCCGUGGGGUGGGGUAUCUCUCCUCCCCAGGAGCUGCUCUGCCAGCCUAGACCUGCCUUUUGGGUCCCUGUCCCUCACCGACCCCCCUUUCCUCUGCUGAUGCAGGAACCCUGCCCAGGAGCUUUUUGUGCCUUUGGAAAUGUGCCACUGUGCUUCCCCCUUGAAGGGCAGCACAGAGGGAGGAGGCAGAAACAGCCCCUUUUUUGGCUUGAAUCCUACCAGGUUUAGUUCAGAAGAGGUUGGUGCCUUCCACUGUGCCAAACGUCUGUUCCUAGAAAGCAUACAGUCACAGAGCUGUUUAAUAGACUCCUCACAUCGCUGGGGGGAAGCCAUUUAUUAAUUUUAUCUGUUUUUUUUCCCCUGGGAAAGUAGUCCAAAGCCUGAAGUGUCAUCAGGAAAAGCUAGAGGAACACUGACAGUUCUUGUUUUGCAAAUUAUCAAAUGAACCUAUUUCCCUCUGUUGCUGGUAAUGUCUUUCAUUAUGCCUUUAAUGAAAUUGUAUUGACAUAUUUAUGGUCUAAUAAAAUAAAAAAAAAAAGAGAUACCCUGGGAAAGCAGUUUUCAGGAGCUGAAAUGUUUUAAUAAUGGUUUCGUAAAUGAUUUUGAUUUUUUUUUUAGUCAUAAACUUUGGCAAAAGGAAUUGUGGAUAAUUCAAAACCACUAAUGAAAUGGUCUCUGGACUGUGCCAUUUAAAUCCUCUAAGAUGUAUUUUCUGCUGCCUCUCCUUUAAAUUUGAUGCCCUUCAUUUUUAACAUCUAUGUGUAGCUGGCUACAAUGUGUUGUGUCUUCUUCCCACACAGCCAAUUUAUCCACUAUUAUACUUUCCUACUCUCUUAUCACUGGGAAAACAGCACCUUGACAUACCAUUUUGUGAUUUAUACUUUAAAAUACCCACCUGGUCCAGUUUUAUUAUGUCCUCAGUUGUUGAAUUCAGAGUGGGUUAAAGUAGGGACUUUAGCAUCUGUUUUGGAAUUGUUAGGGAUUAGCCAGAAAAUUCUGUAAUGAUUCUGAUGAGCAUCUGUCAUUUUUUUUUGUGGAGCAGUGGUGAGAGCUUCCAUAUAGACUGUCAUCUCUGGUUGAUCUGGAUCUGGACAUUUCCUAAACCUGGGAUCCAAUCUGUUAAUUGUACUCAUCUGCUUGAGUGCAGUUCUGGUUUUAGUAGUAGAUGAUGGGUAAUUUUUUUUCAUAUUAUUUUUCUUUUGUCAGCUCAUAAAAUGAGCCUGACUGAGAGCUAUGUGUUUUCACUUCACUUAUAUGAGUCGGCCAAUUGCUGUAUCCAGCUCAAUUAACAUCUGAAUUUGCUUUCAUGAAAAAAAAGGGUAUUGGUUCUGUCCCAGAGGUCACAGAAGACUAAGAAAAUAAAGGUCAUGAUGUAUCUUGAAUUCAGAAUGUACAGAUGUUAUACGAAGAUAAAAUCUGAAACCCAGAAGGGAAAGGAAGACAUAUUUGCAGCUACACUAUGUAUAUGUAAAUGGUAACAGAUGAUUUAGUGCUGGAAGAGUGUGGUAUCCUUUUUUUCCUCUAACAAAACAAUGUCAUAAAAAUAGGCAAACAAGAAAAAAACAAAAUGGACCAAUGAAUAACAACAGAUAUUCAAUCACUCUUAAAUAUGAGACUGGGGGAAUAUAUACUAGUUUCUUAGGAUAUGGCUAGUAAAUAUAGAGACCCUUAGUGGCAAAUCUGGCUUCUCAGAACAUUAGUUCCUAUAUCACAGAUGAAAAUAAGGAUGCAGACAUGAAAAAUAAAGAAGAGAAACAAUAUGUAUGCUCAUGAUAUCUCUGUAUAAUCCAAAUCAGUUGUCUGCAAGAGAGUUAAAAAAUACUUUAUGCAU